UAACACAUGCAAGUCGAACGGACCUAGCCCGGUAGUAAUAUUGGGCGACGGUUAGUGGCGAACGGGUGAGUAACGCGUGAGCAACCUGCCUUUCAGAGGGGGAUAACAACUGGAAACAGUUGCUAAUACCGCAUAAUGUAUUUAGAUGGCAUCAUUUGGAUACCAAAGGUUAAAUCCGCUGAGAGAUGGGCUCACGUCUGAUUAGCUAGAUGGUAGGGUAAGGGCCUACCAUGGCUGCGAUCAGUAGCCGGUCUGAGAGGAUGAACGGCCACAUUGGGACUGAGACACGGCCCAGACUCCUACGGGAGGCAGCAGUGGGGAAUAUUGGGCAAUGGGCGCAAGCCUGACCCAGCAACGCCGCGUGAAGGAAUAAGGCCUUCGGGUUGUAAACUUCUUUUAUUAGGGACGAAGGAUGUGACGGUACCUAAUGAAUAAGCCACGGCUAACUACGUGCCAGCAGCCGCGGUAAUACGUAGGUGGCAAGCGUUGUCCCGGAUUUACUGGGUGUAAAGGGCGCGUAGCCGGGAAUGCAAGUCAGAUGUGAAAUCCAUGGGCUCAACCCAUGAACUGCAUUGAAACUGUGUUUCUUGAGUGAUGGAGAGGCAGGCGGAAUUCCUAGUGUAGCGGUGAAAUGCGUAGAUAUUAGGAGGAACACCAGUGGCGAAGGCGGCCUGCUGGACAUCAACCGACGCUGAUGCGCGAAAGCGCGGGGAGCAAACAGGAUUAGAUACCCUGGUAGUCCGCGCCGUAAAUGAUGAAUACUAGGUGUGGGGGGACUGACCCCUUCCGUGCCGGAGCAAACGCAAUAAGUAUUCCACCUGGGGACUACGGUCGCAAGACUAAAACUCAAAGGAAUUGACGGGGGCCCACACAAGCAGUGAAUUAUGUGGUUUAAUUCGAAGCAACGCGAAAAACCUUACCGGGGUUUGACAUCCGACUAACGAAGCAGAGAUGCAUUAGGUGCCCUUCGGGGAAAGUCGAGACAGGUGGUGCAUAGUUGUCGUCAGCUCGUGUCGUGAGAUGUUGGGUUAAGUCCCCGCAACGAGCGCAACCCCUUGUUGUUAGUUGCUACGUAAGAGCACUCUAACGAGACUGCCGUUGACAAAACGGAGGAAGGUGGGGACGACGUCAAAUCAUCAUGCCCCUUAUAUCCCGGGCUACACACGUAAUACAAUGGCGUUUAACAACGGGAAGCGAAGGAGCGAUCCGGAGCGAAUCCCCAAAAGGCGUCUCAGUUCGGAUUGCAGGCUGCAACUCGCCUGCAUGAAGUCCCCCCCCCUCGUAAUCGCGGAUCAGCAUGCCGCGGUGAAUACGUUCCCGGCCUUUGGGCAGAACAACCCGUCACACCAUGAGAGUCGGGAACACCCGAAGUCGGUAGUCUAACCUGAUAAGGAGGGCGCCGCUUUUUUGUAAUAG
rnacentral:rRNA from 1 species